rnacentral:rRNA from 1 species
UACGGGGGGGAGCAAGCGUUGUUCGGAUUUACUGGGCGUAAAGGGCGCGUAGGCGGCCUCUGCAAGUCGACUGUGAAAUCUCCGGGCUCAACUCAGAGACUGCUUCCGAAACUGCUGUGCUGGAGUGUGGGAGAGGCGCGUGGAAUUGCAGGUGUAGCGGUGAAAUGCGUAGAUAUCUGCAGGAACACCCGUGGCGAAAGCGGCGCGCUGGACCACUACUGACGCUGAGGAACGAAAGCUAGGGGAGCAAACGGG